rnacentral:misc_RNA from 1 species
AAACAGGAAAAAUUAUCAAAACUUCUAAACAACUCUGUAAACAAACACCUCGUGCAUAAUUUAUUGCAUGACAAACAGUUACUGCAAUGUGUAUAGCAAUAUUGAUCCGAAGGAGCCAUCGAUCAGUCCGGUUCAACCGGAACGAUAUUUGAGUAUAAAUUUUUCCUAUCAGAAUCGAUUACAAUAGAUAUCGCAAAUUCCAUGUAUUUAAUGAUAUAGAAAUAUUCCUAUUGAGCCUCCAAUUUCACUAAAGAAUAUGGUUAAAGAAUGAAGUGGAAAAGCAAACGUUGAACACAGCCAGCAUUUUUCAUUUCUCUCUGUCACAACCAAAGUGCACGGGAUAAAUAUGGGGCGAGGCAUGUCAGAAUUAAGUUAGCAACUUCCCUCGUAGUCGAGAUGCAACUGCAAAGGGCAGUUUCCUUUUGCAGAAUCAUGGAUCAGCUUGUGUACAACCUGCUUCUCCACAGCUAGUAGAAUGAGCCAAAAUGUGAGUGAUCAUUAGCCAUGAUUUCUACAUCAACAAUACUUUCGAUAUCUUUCUCAUAUAUACGACCAGAGACCAUACAGCUAACCAUGCUGAAACAUAUAGCAAGAUCACACCAGAAGCUACAAAAGUUCCAGCCCCUGAUAAACUGCUAUCUCUAGUAAGAAGAAGGAUGGUCAAUGCAGUCAUCUGAGUGGCUGUUUUCCACUUCCCCAAGUUAUUCACAGCAACAGCCUCUGAAAGUUUACCACCCUGAGAAGCCGCCCAUUCUCUAACUGCAGACAUAGUUAUCUACAAAAAGAUUUGCAAAAUGAAUCAAAAAACAGUGUUUAUCACUCAUCCACAAUGA